CAGAGUAGUAAUGUUUCUUGGGUGACCAUUUGAUUCAGUUAGAUGAAAGCUGCAGUUGUUGGCAUAAUUGAAUCCUACCAUUGAACUUCCAUGAAGAAAGGAUCCUGAAAUUGGUACUAUUUACAAAGCAUCCAAUACUCAGUUAUAGUCAAACCUCAAGGAGGUCUUAAAUUUGGAAGCUCCGGUAAAUAAAGUAAUAAAAAUUCAGAUUUGAAAAGCCUCUAACCAUUCCUAAAUAUUAUUUCCUCUAGAUUGACGGCACUUACUUUGAACGAAGCCAUGCACCAGCUUAUGUGGAUAAGCAGAUGUUAAUCAUAAGAAUUAAAAAUGUGGAAAGAAGAAGAUUUUACUUGAUAAUCCUCCAGAAUCAUUUGAUCUAUCUUCCUAGAAAGCAUAUGGUGAACCAUAAAAACAUAAUCUGCAGGUAUUAAGCAAAACUGGAUGAUCAUCUACUAUAGAAAUAAAUAAAUAAACCAAGCAAAAUUAGCACCAUGAAUGAACAAUUCAUCUAGUACUAACAAUCAGUCCAGUUCAGCUGCAGCUCAUCGCCAUCUAAUCACCAAUCAAGGUCAAGUCCUGCACACUCUUGGCUUCUCCCAAAAGUGAAACAUCCUUUUCCUCUCUAAACC